rnacentral:lncRNA from 1 species
AUGUUUCUAAGGACGAUGUAAGUGUACAUCUUGAUUGUAAAUCAAUAUGAACCAUAAGAGGAGAAUAGUUUCACUUCGAAAAAAUUCUCAAGGCAUUCAUUAUUGCUAAUGUGAGUACAUCGAGGUCUCAAAUAGACAAAGGACGUCGAUACAACGCCUUAGUACAUAUAACUUGGAACGAAAAUCAAUGUCUAGCCGAUGACAUCAAAGUCAUGGGUAGCUAGAGCAGGAUCUGAAUCUUUGAUAUUUGCGAUCAUGAGGAUGACGUUCUUGUCCUCAUAUUGAUUUUCCAUACCUUUUUGUAUGCAUUUACAAUUUAAAGGAGCUUGACAAUUUUGAACCAGUGAUCCGAAGAUCCACAACGGUUGCAUUAAUGUCAUGAGCUGACGUGAGUAGUUUUGACAAAAUAGUGUCUAGACCGGGAGUGUCGCUAUUAGAGCCGGCAACACCUCCCCCUCUUUUCUAGACAUCGGCACAACGUUUUCUGCCGUUGCCAUGACCCAUAUUGUUGUCCCCACAUUAGGGGAUAAUCCCAAAUAAGUUUAUCACAUUAGCGUAUAUACAAUUCUCGUUUGUAUGAUCAAAAUCAAGUCUUGUUGGUAAUUCCACACCAACUUGGAGGACCUAGAGAACUUGAUGAUGAUCGAAUCCGCUAAAGAUUAUGGAUCAUGAUGCCACAAAAGAUCAUCGACAAUAUGUAGUCAAUUAAGGUGGUAAGCAAUCCACUUGAAUAAUAACUCAACAAGUAGAGUUAUAUGAACGUUUCGAGAAAUGCUCCAUGAGUGCAUUCCACAGUACUUUGUGGUCAUUACUUUUUGCACAGGUUGCCAUUGAAGGCUUUUGUCGAUGUGGCGCUUCAAAAACUUUGAGCGCAUGAGAUGUGAAAUCUCGGCAUCUAGGCUUGUUAGCCUGGGGGUCAAAACAUGUGGUUUAAUCCUUUCCAAUGAAAGGUUCCACAGAUACCAAGCGAAGUUCCGCUUUAGGCAUCUAGUACGUCAAAACUCAAAGUAGCAGAAUGUUACAUUGCUCUUGCAUACAAAACCAAGCUGUUUUGAGACUCGAUAGAGGUCACAAACGAUGCUUUUAAUGGUUUGUCCUUCGGAUUAAUCAUACACAAUCCGGAAAAGCCGCGAAUUGAUCAAACACAAUUCGUAAAAAGGCCUUGGAUUGAUCAAACACAAUCCUGUGAAAGGUCGGGGUUGAUCAAACACAACCCGGACAAAGAAACAAGAGUGAUCCAACAUACUCUUGACCCGCGAAUAAAAUUCUG